AGCCCCGAUCCCUCACAUUUCUUCUCCUCUCUCGACAUCUCUCGCGCGCGCACACAACCAGCGGGCGGCGUGCUGUCGUCUCUGCAUGUGAUUCUCUCCAUCAUAUCAACCAAUUGCUCAGUUCCUCUCAUUCUUCUAUUCACAGGUUCGUUUUUUCACUCCCUCUCUCUGUAUGUUUCCGCUUAUCAUUUUCUCUCUCUCUAUUGAAUAGCAACAUAUGCAUCCGUACGGCGCAUGGUUUUGAGUAUAGUUGCUAUAACCCUAGCCAUAGGACUGGUGGAAUUUGGGUGAAGCCCUUUAAUUCCCUUGAACUCCGAGCUGUGGCGGGUGAAGAGUUGAUGGUAUAUUUGGCCCAAACCUAGUACUUGUCUGAAAAAGUACAUUUAAUAUAUUUAAAUUAUUAAUUUAGAACUCAUCAACUCAAAAGGGCUAGAAUCCAGAACCCAUAAACUUAAAAUUCUUGAUCUGCUGGCUAAAAGUAUAGAUUAAUAACCAGUAUUGGGAAGAAAUACGCUCGAAUUAAACUGAAUGGAUAUGUAGGACUCCAACUAGUUCGAGAUGAGGUAUAGUUCAUUGAUUAACUGAUGAACUCUGAUAAAGAAAAGCAUCAAUUAGGCUUUCUUCUCAUUUCUCUACGCUUGUAAUGUAACAUGAAAGGAGUACUUGUAAUACCAGUUUCAUAUGCAUACAACAAGAACAACAUACCCAAUGUAAUCCCAUAAGUAUAGUCCCGGGUAAAUGUGUACGCAUACCUUACCCCUACCUAAUGUAGGUAAAGAAGUUGUUUCCGAUAGAUCCUCGGCUAAGGCAAGCAUAAUCACAUCAUUACAGAAAAAGAAAUAUUGUACUAAUAAAGAAGAAAAGGAAGCAGUAACAACAAUAAGACAAUAAUAAAACCGAAGCAGAAGCAACAUUAGGUAGUAUUAGAAAUCUAAGAAAAAAGGAAAUACGAGAAUAGUAACAGAACUACUGGUAUGGAAAGGAAGUAUACUCGACUACCUACUAACCUUCUACCCUGAUUUCCGACUUCCAUACCCUCAUAUCAAGGGUUAUGUCCUGGGUAAGCUGAAGAUAUGCCAUGUCCUGCUUAAUCACCUCUCCCCAAUACUUUUUCAUCCUACCUCUACCUCUAUUUAACCCCGCCAAUGACAUCCUCUUAUGCCUCUUCAUUGGGGGCUCUGUGCAUCUUCUCUUCACAUACUUGAACCAUUUCAGCCUCGUUUCCCGCAUCUUAUCCACCACGGAGGCCAUUCCCACAUUUUCCCGAAUAUCUUCAUUUUGGACCAUAUCUCUCCUAGUAUGCCGACACGUCCAUUUCAGCAUCCUCAUACAUACUUUUUUAAAAAUAAACCUGAAUUGAUCAGAAUGGAUAUAGAGGAUUCAUGUAGCAGACCCCAACUAAUUUGGACUCGUGGAAUAAGAUAUUAGAUAUGGAACUUAAUAUUUGAAUUUACGGCAUUUUUGGAUUGAUAGAGGAAAAAGAGGGACUAGGGAAUUAAAUAUGAGGCACAGAGCUUUCUUUUUUAUUUCACUUUCUUAGUAGUGCAAAUAUUAAUGUCGUUUAACUGGACCAAUAGUGGCGCCCUAACCACAUUUAUUGUUGUUAUAUUUUACGUACUUUAUAUUGCAUCUCCAAGCCAUAUGCCCUUAUGGUUCUCAAAUUAUGAAUGAAAGUGACGCGAGUAACUUCUAAUUGUUUAUUAGUGGAAUGAAAUGGGCCCGAAUAGAAGGAAUGGAUAUAGAGGAUUCAUACGUCUAACCUAAACUAGUACUAUGAAAUUGCAAAAGUAAGAGAUAUUGGUGAGUAGUGCGUUAAUAUAUGGCGAUUCUUUUGUUCCCAGUUUAAUUUGUCUUUUUCACCUAUCAAGGGUCAAUUUGACCUAUUUUAUAUGCGAGCCACAUUUAAUUUCUCUUUGAAAAUAUUUUUUCCAGUUCAAAAAAAUUUCUCUUUGAAACUAUUUUUUUAGAGACUUGGAAACUACCUGGGAACUAUUAUGAGUUUCAUACUACUGCAUUUGAAAAGAUGGUGUGAACUACUAUGAAUUAGUUUAACUCUAGGGAGAUGAGAGUAACCAUCAUCCUGCGGCAAGGGAGCGUCUUCUUAAGUGGACAUGCAUUUCCUUUGUCAUUGUAUUCCAUUAUGAAAGAAGACCUUAAUCUUUUCCUGUAACUUUAUAUUGCUUACCUUAUCAAGAAAGAAAAACCUUUCCCUGUAACUGUUCCUCCCUCUCUCUCCUUCCCUCUCUCUUCUUUUCUUUUAAAUUUGAAAUAAAACAUGACAUCUCAACCAAAUAGACGAGAGCAAAAAAUAAAAAUAAAAAAAGAAAAGAAGAAAAAACUCAAAGAAGCGGCAAUAAAGUAUCAGACCUUUUAUUUCUUCAAGUAAUUUUUGCAGUGAAAUGGCAUCCCCAGCUUGGCUGCCCCAGGAAAUGCAGUCUUCAAGUUCACAAACAUCUGGUAUGAGUUUGGCAACUGGAGAACCAACUACAAGCUCUUCGACUCCAAAUGCAGAUUCAACUCAGGAAGCGGUCCAAGGGAAAUUUAUCCCCCCUCCUGGAUAUAGCGCUGGUCGGGCUUCUUUCUCUUAUGUGAAUGCUAGUGUCCCUUCUGGAAGCUCUCAACAGUCAUCUUCAAGUCCUGUUAGUCAAAUUUUUACAUUUUUUGUUUCUGGAGAUGCAGUGGUUUCAACUGGAGAGAACUAUGAAUUACUUGGCUUUCAUUGCAGGUCAUUCCAUCAACUUCCUCAGGUUCUUCAGCAUCGCUCCAACCUCCCAUUCCCGGCCAGUCUGCAAAUGUUGGCUCUUCAUUUUCAUACAACAUUUCACAUGCUGAUAACAAUUUCUCCCGUGGCCUACAGUUCUCGACUAGCCCAUUGAGGGUUAGUUUCUGUUGAUUGAUGACAGUAAUAUUACACCAACAUUUUGGCUAAUACAUAUUGUCAGAACGUGUUAUAUGUUGUCAGUGGCUGUAGUUUUUUUUUUGGUGGUGGUGGUGAUGGGGGGAUAGGUUCAUAUGAGGACUACUCUUUUCUAUUGCAUGGCCAAGCCUAUUAUAGUGGUAAGUUUGUGUAACAUGUGUAUAUUAGGCCCAGGUAAAUGUUCAGUGGGUAAAUCUAACACGGAUAUGUCUAAAAGCCUGAAGCUGGGGUUGAAUCUUUGACCUGUAAUCCUGCAAUUAUCAGAAUAAGAGUAAGUGAAGUUAGCUGGACAUUGUAGGAUGUAGCGUUGUGAAGAACGUGAUGUGUACUUUAGGAUGUGUGUAUUGAGUCCUUCAUACAGGAAAACAAUAUUUUGAAGGUAUGGGCUUCAAAACAGUAAAGCAAAUAUGGAGAAGAGAUUCUUUUUUCAAUAAGAAAUAAAUAAAUGGCAAGUUAUAAGAAUUGCUCCUAGAUACCUUUGCAUUCUACCUCGGGUUUCAUUUGGUUUAGAAGUGCAUUCUACAAUUCAGGAAGAGCACAAUUGCUGUCCAAAAUCAAAUUACUUAGAAACUUUACAUGGACAUUUAAAGAUUGCUAAUCCAUAAAAAGGUACUUAUUGGUUCCUUAUAAAAAAGGUACUUAUUGGUUUUGCUCUUUAUUUUGUGCAUCUCUUAAGAAGAUAAGAUUUAACAGAUCCAAAUACUAGAAGUCCUUGAUUGCAGUAUGCUAUUUCAUUUAUGUGAUUUUUCCUAUGAAGCUAUGUGUUUCUGUCUGAUUUAGCUUUUAAAGCAGUUGGCAACUUUGUUCAUAUUAAUUCUAAAGACAAUAUGUUGCUUUCUUUUGAAUGUCCUUUUUGGGUAGUUUUCUUUAAAAGAUUGCUGUGAAAUAUCUGUUACUUUUUGCUUCCCCUCAUCCUCUGCUGCUGGCACGCGUGGGGGAUGCACUGUUGUAUUGGGGUCAUGAAUUAUUAAAGUCUUAAUCUUAUUAGGCGGUCCAAGUCAUCAUUUGCACAAUCAACUUUCCCACUAAUUAUAAAAACCGUAUUCAUGGAUUUUCCUAGGAUCGUGUCUUCAAGUAACUGCUCUUUUUUUCUUAAUUUAAUUUUUACCUUUUGCUGGGAUUGACUUGUGUCUGACUGGACCUAUUGGUUUGUGGCAGCCUGUUUCUCCUAAUCAACUAGUGGAUGUAAAGAAUUCAUCUCCUGCAGCAUCAUUGCAGCCUCCUCUUCCUCUGGUGUCUACAAGGUUAAGCUCAUUCAUACCUGGAAGUGCUGCACCUGCAGCCUCCCCGUUAAGUGGUUCGAACUUAUCUUUCAAUGGAAGUCCUCAAAUGGUGCAGACUGAUCAAACAAUGAAACCAGUAUGUGUUAUUACAAAGCUAUGUCCCUUGAAGUAAAAAGAUUAGCUGGUCUAACAUAUAUAAAAUGAAAUCCAGAGCUUUUUCUAUUGUAAGCAAUUGAAACAACUGUUCAUGACUUCACAUCUGAUUGAUCUUAUACUAGUUGCAGAAUAGAAGAGUUGACAUUGCACACAAAAUGGGAGCAAUGACUUCUCCACCUUCUGUCAUGCAGUCUUUUUCACAGGCUGGUCACAUGAGUUCUGGUUCUUCGACAGCUGCAUUUCCAACUUCUCAUUUGGGCUCUCCAAAUAUAAGAAUGCCCCACGCACCUCAAUUUCAGGUUCCAGCUGGAGUGCCUAGGAGUCCUGUUACUCCUGGUCCUCCUGGUCUUGGUCCAGUUAUACCUUCAUCUUCCAACGUGACUGCUACAGCCUCACCUGGAGGUCCUUCUUUAUCCUUAAGGCCCAAUGGGCCUCCUGUUCCUGUUCUGGCCAAUCCACCUGUUCAGCAACAAAUAUACUCUCCCUAUCUUUCUGCCUCUCCUAUGGCCCCAACUCAGGGACCUUGGUUGCAGCCUUCACCUGUCACUACCAUGCUAAGACCGCCAUUUCCAUCACACCCCGCAGGUUUUGCUGUUCCCUUUCCUUUGUCAGCUACUGGUGCACCACGUUCUUCAGCGACAUUGCCCGAC
rnacentral:lncRNA from 1 species